GACGAACGCUGGCGGCGUGCCUAAUACAUGCAAGUAGAACGCUGAAGGAGGAGCUUGCUUCUCCGGAUGAGUUGCGAACGGGUGAGUAACGCGUAGGUAACCUGCCUGGUAGCGGGGGAUAACUAUUGGAAACGAUAGCUAAUACCGCAUAAGAGUAGAUGUUGCAUGACAUUUGCUUAAAAGGUGCAAUUGCAUCACUACCAGAUGGACCUGCGAUGUAUUAGCUAGUUGGUGAGGUAACGGCUCACCAAGGCGACGAUACAUAGCCGACCUGAGAGGGUGAUCGGCCACACUGGGACUGAGACACGGCCCAGACUCCUACGGGAGGCAGCAGUAGGGAAUCUUCGGCAAUGGACGGAAGUCUGACCGAGCAACGCCGCGUGAGUGAAGAAGGUUUUCGGAUCGUAAAGCUCUGUUGUAAGAGAAGAACGAGUGUGAGAGUGGAAAGUUCACACUGUGACGGUAUCUUACCAGAAAGGGACGGCUAACUACGUG
rnacentral:rRNA from 1 species